CCCUACCCAAAAGAAUAUUCAGCAACAUUCUUUUCCCCUUAUCACAAUAAUAGCGUGCAACAACAAUGCGUAGCAACCCGAAAUUCCCAGCGAACAAAACCUAGAAGCCAGUUGUGCGUGAUAUUUCUUCCUCCCAUGUUUCUAUCUUCGUAUGGCUACAACAGUAGAAAGCCAGAAAGGCACACGACUUGCGUCCUCCAGAUGGAGCCACGUCACAACAAGGACGUUUAGGAUCGACCCCAAGCGUCCGUUUCCCUUUCUCCUUCUAUUUUAAGUCGAAUUUUCAGAAAAAGAUUUCUUAUCCAAAAAUGGAAAAUUUUAAAUGGGAAUGGGCCCAAUCUUCUCUGUUUUCACCCCAAAAUCGAAACCUAGUUUUCCCUAUAUAUACUCUCUUUGGAUUCACUGUUAAGGGGGAUUUUUUUCCGGUUGGCUUCUUUCUCUUGGUUGGAAAUUUUUGGAAAAAUUGGGAGAGAUUUUUGUAGUUGAAGAACAAAAAUUAGAAGUGAGUUGAGAGAAUUUUAAUUAAGGCAGAGAGGAUAGUUCAAGUAGUUAGUCACAAAAAUACAUGUAAAAUACAUUCGAGAAAAGGUAAACAAGGCAUUUUUUCUUGCUAUUGCAUUCGUGAUUCUGUGGUGGAACUUGCCGUCAUUACCUUACUUGUUCUUGUCUUGCUCGAUGCUUCUGAAAAGACUUUGCCUUGACAUCUUCCUUUGGGCUAUGGAGGCCCAAUUCCUAUACUCGAGUCAAGCCUACAAAAUCGAUGAACAGGUCCCGAAGGAAAGGAAACUAAAGUGGAAAAAGUUGAAGAGAGUGAGCCAUAAGAGUUCAAUUGUUUUUUUAAAAUUUUGUAUUUUGCUAUGUUGGGCCUAAGCCCCCUUAUUUUUUUUAUCAUUAUUAUAUUCUGAGAAUCCUAGGAAAGGUAAAAAAAAAUUGGGCCUAAGGCCCAAAGCAAAACGAAAUGGGUCCAAAUAUCGGUUCAGGCGGACAGAAAUACGAUUUGGACUCACUCUCUCUCCCUC